rnacentral:sRNA from 1 species
AUGGUACAUUUUAAAGGAGAUUUCUGGGGACACCAGUAUGAUGAUAAGUUCCCACCUAGCAGAACAUUCAAUAAUUCAAAUAAAUGCAAAAAGUUUUCUACGUUCAUAACAGAAACCGUUGUGGAUAGACUUAGAAAUGGUUCAAUUGAAUGCUUAGGAAAAGUAGGUUUAGCUAAACCACCCCACAUUGUAGCACCUUUAACCGUCGAGCCAACAAAACCUAGAUUAUGCAUUAAUCUAAUGUAUUUGAACAAUUGGAUCAAAGAUAUAUCGUUUAGUUUAGACACUCUCAAAAAUGUACCUCGAGCCGUAAGAGAAAAUGCAUAUUUUACCUCAAUAGAUGAUAAAUCAGGUUUUGAUAAUGUUAUGUUAUCCGAGGAUUCCCGUGGACUAGUGGGGUUUCAGUGGGGUGGAUUUUAUUUCAUUUUCAAAACAUUACCGUUUGGUUUUAAACUUUCUAGCUACAUUUAUCACACAUUAAAUCUGCAAGCAACAUCGUAUAUUAGGAGAAAGUUUUUGAUUCCUGUACAUUUGUAUAUAGAUGAUCGUCUUGUCGAGGAAGUAAGAAAACCUGGUUUAAAAGCAGGUGUCAGUUCCGCUUUAUUGGCAAAUUACAUUGUUUGUGAAGUUAUAACUAGAUUAGGGUAUUGCAUUAAUUUAGACAAGACCGUGUUUAUCCCGUCCCAAUCAGUUGUAUUUUUGGGAUUUGUUGUUGAUUCCGUAGCUAGAUGUUUCAGAAUAACUGAGUCCAAAAAACAAAAAUUUAUCAAUUUACGCGAGGAUUGUUUAAGGAAAAGUGCUAUUACGGUGCUAGAUUUACAAAAAAUAGUGGGUCGUUGUAUUUCUUUUAUGUUAGCUGUUCCGGCAGCAAAACUUUACACUCGGGAGAUGAAUAAUGCAAUUUCAUUAGGAAUCCGCAAUCAAACAAGCAUUCCAAUGACAAAAGAUUUAAAGGACGAACUUAAUAAUUGGCGGUUUUUGGAUUCAUGGACAGGAAAGUUAGAAUGGAAAAAAGAAAGACAUUUAGUUGUAAACAUUUAUACAGAUGCUUCUAUGUUCAAAUGGGGUGGAUAUUUUAAAAUAAAUGAUACAGAGCACAAAGUGGGCGAUUCGUGGGCACAUGAAAUGUUAUCGCUUCCUAUUAUGGUACUAGAGGCUAAAGCUUUGUUAUAUGUUUUAAGAUCUAUACGGGAAGACAUAAAGGGUAGUCGGGUGGACGCAAACGUAGACAAUCAGGCCUUGAUAGGUGCUUGGAAUAACGAAGGCUCCAAAUCUAUGAUGCUCAAUUCCACUCUUAAAGAAAUUUUUCAAUUGACUUUGGAUUUAGACGUAAUGUUAAAUUUACAUUUUGUACCAUCUAAAUUGAAUUUAGCAGAUGAGCCAUCGAGAAAACUUAGUAAAUCGGAUGCGAAAUUAAAUAGCGAUAUAUGGAGUACAAUACAAGAGUAUUUUGGUGACAAUACAGGACACACGAUCGACUUGAUGGCUUUAGAUUCUAAUAGCAUGAUAGACAGAAAUGGUAGAAUUCUAAAACAUUUCACUCCAACUGUUUCUCCGUUGUCGUCAGGUGUAAAUUUAUUUGCCCAAGCCGUGGAUAAAAGUGAAAACUGUUACGUAUUUCCUCCUUUUGCAUUAUUAUUACCGGUGUUGUCUUUCAUCAGGGAGAAUAUGUUAAAUUGUACCGUGAUAUUACGUGCGGAUGGAGUAAUAGCCACAUGGGUCCCAACAUUUUAUGAAUUGAUACACGAUGCUUUUAUUGUUGGUAACAAGGGACAAAAGGGUGUUUUGAAAUAUCCUACAAAGAAAGGUUAUGAUCCAGAUGGUAUAGGGUUAUCUGGAAAUCUGUGGGCAGUUCGCAUAAGUUCAAAGCAAUCUCUGUGUUUUAAUUAUGGAAAAUUAUUAUUUCUUAAUGAACCACUUAUUUCUUCUAAAUUUCACUUGUUAUGUAUUGGUGAUUCAAUGAUAAGAUUUUUACAGUGGCGAAAAGAUUUUAAAAACCCAAUGGUAAAUGUGUUUUCACAAGGAGGUGCUCUUGUGUGUGAAAUAACACCCCAAAUUGAGAGACUAACUAGAAUGCAUCCGCCUAGACUUUUGUUUAUUCAUGUAGGUGUCAAUAAUGUAAGCAAAUCCUUUCUGUUUGAAAGCGAGUUCAGCCAGUUAUUAAUUACAACUGAACAAUUAGAACAUUUAGCACAUAUACUUCAGUGCACACGUACGAAUGAUAGGCAUGUAUCUAUUGUAUUAUCAUCAAUAAUCAGGUGUAAAGAUGAAGCUAUAAACGCAAGAUCGGCUAUCAUUAAUGAAAAGAUAGAAAGUUUAUGCAAGCGUUAUUGUUGGAUGUUCAUGGACAAUUCAAACAUUAAUUGUAGACAUUUGAGAGAUUGUGUGCACUUGAAUGAAGAAGGUCAAUUAAUUUUUCUUAAAAAAUUUGUAUGGUGUACUAAAAAAUGUUUGGUGAUUUUUCUUGUGUAAAUAUGUGUGUAUAUAUAUAUAUGUAUGCGUUAUAAAAAUUUGAGUCAACACUUAACAAUGUAUUUUGGUUUUUAUUAUCAGAUUUUUAUAUAUUUUUGUUUUAGGAGUAUCUCAUGAAAAAAAAUUUGGUGCCCCUACAUAACGUGUUCAAGAUGUGCAGUAACAAAUGACAUAGACUUUAAGUAUUGCAAAGCGUGUGGUAGUGCUAGGGAAAAUAAAGCUACUAAUUACCAGGACGAGAUAAAAAAGGAGGAAGUUUUAAAUAAAAUAAACAAUAGAAUAAGUCAGCUAGAUGCUCUGCUAGACGCGGCUAGCUAUUCUAAACAGAAAUGUAGUUUAAAAAAAGAGAUUGAAAAUUUUUUCAUCUUUUUAGAUUCGCGGAAAAAUCUUACUAAUGCAAGUCCAGAGGACAUCAGGAAAUUUCUCAUUUUCAAAGAAAAGGGUGGGAAAACACAGUUACACGAUAUUAGCUGCCCUUUACGCACGAAACACGGCCUUCAAACUUGCCAAUGCCCAAGGACUUUGGCAUCAAAGUCUGUUGAUUCUUUACUGGGAAAAAUCAGAGCAUUAUUUAGAGACGAGGGUAGAUCAGGAGAGUGGAAUCCUAUGCUUCUUACGGGUAACCCUGCUGCCUCACAUUUGUUAAAAAAACAUCUACAGGUCAUUAAUCAGGAGCAGGCUAACGCUAACAUUUCUGUAAAACAAGCUCCUCCAUUAAUGUUUAGUAAGUUGGAAAGCUAUGCAGACAUUUAUCAUAUAGAGCUUCAGUUGAGAAAGAUCCUAUUUCGAACUUUCUUUAUGCAAGAGACCUGGCUUAUUAUUUUUCAAUUUUAUGUCAUUCUGGUAGCAGAGGGGGUGACCUUGGUUUAUUGACGGCAGACAGAUGUUUUCAAAUACCCGACUCAGAGGGCAUUUUUGUGUCUCAAACGGCCGGAAAAGUCGCUAAUUUUGGAUAAUCCGAGAAAUUUCAUAGUUCUUCCUUCAAAGGAUUCUGAUAUUUGUCCGGUUAAAAACUUAACAAAAUACAUCAACAACGCUAAGGAGUUAAGCAUUACUCUUGCUGAAGGGUAUGUUUUCCGUAUACGAGAUAAAGUGUCACGAAAAAUCAUUAACGAACCAGUUACUUCAUCUUGCAUGACAGAGAGACUCAAAUUACAUUUAAAUGUGUUGAAAUUAUACGAAGGGGAAACUUCCCAUAGCAGUAGGAGAGGAUGUGCAAUUACAUUGCGUAUGCUAGGUGUUAAUGAUGAAGGGAUAAAUCAACACGUAGGGUGGGGCACAAAAAACAUGGUUGAUCAUUAUGCCAAUGUAGGGAAACUGAUAAGUCCUAAAGGACCGGCCUCAAUUUUGUCGCAGGCUGCGGAAAAUUUAGGGAAAGGAAGUUCUUCUUUUGAUAAAGUUUCAAAUCAAUAUACUGGUUUGAGCAAAUUGAAAAGUUUCAGUUUCAAUUAGUUAUGAUUGUGUUGAACAAAAGAAGGGUAAUAAAGUCUUCUUCCAACAUGGGAAAGUUUUCUUUUUUAUAAGUAUUGGAUAUGUUUUAUGGUAAUAGUUGUUUCAAUAAAGAGGUUGGAACAUUGCAUAAGGUUUUGUAUUUAGCCAGUCAGUCAUGUCAAAUCAUUUCAAUGAGACCCCUUUAUACAUCGUUGGUUUGUUGAAUCCAAUAUCUUAUAUAUGAGAGGAACCGUUGUGAACUUGUAAUAUUCCACUAUUCCAAGUUUACCCUUUCGGUACCUCGAAUGUAUAAGAUAGCGCGGCCACUCUUGGUCUCAUCGUCACUCAAUUGGAGGUCAUAGUUAGGGCAUGAUCGCUAUGUGGAUCGAACGCAUAAGCGUUGCUGAUUGAGAGGUCAUUGUGUUUAAAAAAAAAAAGUAAAAAAAAAAAAAAAAAAAAAAAAAAAAAAAAACAAUCCGCAUAAUACAUAUUAAAAAAAGCGAAAACAGAAAAACAGGGAAAAAAAAAAAAAAAAAAAAGCUCGGCCUGUCACAAUGGUUUUACUAUAAAUAUUUUUUUUUUCGGUUUUAGAGGUGUUCGAAUAUUAUGGGUUUUGAAUAUGAUAUAUUCGGUAGGUUCAAAAAUAGAUAUUAUUUCGUUUACUCAUUUGGUGUGGUAGGAACCGAAGUACAAAUGUAGUAACGAUUACUGGAGAUUGUGAAAUAGAUGGUGAAAUGGCCACAAAUAAACAGAUCACGCAACUUUGGGACUUGUACUUAUUUGAACCUUUAGAUAGGCUGUGCUUGGUAUAUAGCAUGAAGCGUUUGGUAUUUUAUUUUCGGAACUAAAAAUGCGCAUGAAAUAUCUAAACAGCUUCAAACUGAACAUGAGAUUUAGCGAUCGUUUAACACAAAUACGAAUCUAUUAGAAUGUUAUGUGGUCAAAUGGUUAUUUGAAGAAGCCAGAUGGUUAAUAUCUGAGAACCAAGUAAUAGUUCGUAUUAAUUAGUUCACUUGAUUCCUUUCAUCCCUUUUCAAACCUCUUAUGGUUUGUUGAAUCC